AAUAACACUAAACAACGUGUUAUACUUACACAAUGACGGAGGAAAAGAUACGAAUGGAUACAGUGUCUACAAAUGCCACCUUGACUGAGUGCAAAGCAGCUAUUAUCACUGUGGCUUUUGCACAAAAGUCUUUGUGAAAAAUGUUGUGUCCGUCAGUUUAAAACCUGCUGCAAGACAGCAACCACAAAUAUUACUGCAACUUUGGCAUCCAUGGUGACUCCAGCGUCAUGAAUGAAUGAAUACCCAAACAAAACACCUAGAAUAUAUUGAUAGAAAAUCAUCAGAGGCAACAUUGUGUAUCCCUGGGCAAAGAAGGACGACAGGGUCUUCAUUCUUUUUGAAGAUGAUGACCAAGUGGACCAGGUGAUGCGCUUCUUGUCUGGAGUCUUUGAAAGUCCACAGAUAGAUAAGAAGUCUUCAGAUCCUGUGGUUUCAAUCAUACAGAGCUGUACUCUCCAUCUCCCUGGACAAAGACAAAGACAUGUACACAUGUGGAACUGAGAUUGACUCCAGGUUAACCGGAUAGUUUAGGAAACUGUUAAUCCAAUUUUCACAACAGUUUAUGUAUGUGAGUGUCAUUAAUGACUUAUUUAUUUAAUUAAAAUUAUUAUUUUAUUUAUAAUGAAUUAUUUUGUUGUAUCAUGUUGUCUUAUCAGCGAGAUAACACAGCUUGGAGAACAGCUUCAGAGCCACAUGUCCAAGGAAGCGAGGCUCAAACAGGAAAGCCUUAGAGAGUGAGGACUUUGUCAGGUGCCUGUAAUCCCGGACAACGUUUUGAAAAAUGUAAAUAGUUAAU